UCAGGAUGACCCGGAUCCGCCCACUCAAGCAAUUGGGUUAGAAUAAACCCUAAAAUCAUGGAAUGAGGCAGCGCCUCUGUUCUUCUCUCCCUCACGUUCCUGGAAAAAAAAACAAACUUAAGGAAAUGAAAAUCAAACUCUCUCCCCUCUUGCUCGUUUUUCUCUCUGAAAUUUCUUCAUCUUUCUCACGACAACAACAAUGGCAACUCGUUGUAUCUCUCACCCGAUUCCUCUCUUGCUCACGUUUGAACAACAACAACAACGAAGCACUCUCUCUCGGUUUUUCUAUCUCUCUCGCGAGUUGGCUCUCAUCGUGAACAACAACAACUCGGUUUCUCUCUUUGCGAAGUAACAACAAACAGCAACCUCUCCAUCUCUCUUGAUUUUGCUUGCGGUUAUCGACAGAAACAACAACAAAUCUUAGAGGGAACACGGUUCUGAUUCAAGCCAAAACAGUGAAGCACAAGAACAACAAAUUUGCAGUAACAAUUAGCAGAAAAAUUAAUAGCGGGCGAGAAAUUGAGUUACCUGCGGCGAGGAGGCUUUCGCCGGUUUAUGUACUGAGGUUUGUCGGUGUUUUUGAACUUCAUUUGUGGUAGAGAGGUUUGAAGUUGGAUGAUGAGGUGAAGAUAAACAAACUGCUUUCUUUUGAUGAAGAUGAUGCAACAAAACCUCUUUGGAUUCGUGGGAACUUUGGAUAUUAAGGAGACUUGAAGAUGAUCUUCAAGUGGAAACCUUCCACCAAGGUAUGAACUAUUUCUUCCCCCUUUUUCAAACUAUGGAACUUUGAAAAUUAUGAAAAGAGAGAAGUGAGAAAGCUAGUAGUAUAGUAGCUUUGGUGUGUCCAACUUCAAAGAAAUCACUUCUUAUUUAUAGGCAAAAUUUAGGGAUGUGUUAGGAAUUAAGAAACUUGAUUGGGAGGUUAUAGUCAUCUCAAGAAUGAGAAUAAGAAUAAGAAUAUAUUCUUCAUCAU